UACGUAGGGUGCGAGCGUUGUCCGGAAUUAUUGGGCGUAAAGAGCUCGUAGGCGGUCUGUCGCGUCUGCUGUGAAAACCCGAGGCUCAACCUCGGGCCUGCAGUGGGUACGGGCAGACUAGAGUGCGGUAGGGGAGAAUGGAACUCCUGGUGUAGCGGUGGAAUGCGCAGAUAUCAGGAGGAACACCAGUGGCGAAGGCGGUGCUCUGGGCUGGAACUGACACUGAGGAGCGAAAGCGUGGGUAGCAAACAGG
rnacentral:rRNA from 1 species